rnacentral:sRNA from 1 species
GGUGCCGGUGCGGCGGGGGACUGCGGCGCCAGCCUCAGGUAGCAGCAGCAGCAGCAGCAGCAAUGUUUCACUUCUUCAGAAAGCCUCCGGAAUCUAAAAAGCCCUCGGUACCAGAGACAGAAGCAGAUGGAUUCGUCCUUUUAGGAGAGCUAGCUUGAGACAGAGGUAACAUGUCGAAGAUGGCAGAGUAAAAGGAGGAAGCAACCAUGAUGACAUUGUUGAACUGACGUAUUCACUAACUUGGGAGCUGUUUACCUCUGGACUUUUUAGACCAUGUGGUAGAAAUAAGAGGAAAAAGACAUUCCAAGAGAGAAGAAUGACACUGAAUGAAAGCCCAGAGAAAAUAGGCAAAUGGAUUGAAUGCUAUGUGCACCCACCUGCCUCUAAGCUGGUGGAAAUUUAUAUUCAUACAGUCUUUCUGGAAGACAAAU